GAUGAACGCUGGCGGCGUGCCUAAUACAUGCAAGUCGAGCGAACGGACGAGAACCUCGCUGCGCUGAUGUUAGCGGCGGACGGGUGAGUAACACGUGGAUAACCUACAUAUAAGACUGGGAUAACUUCGGGAAACCCGAGCUACUACCGGAUAAUAUCUUGAACCGCAUGGUUCAAACGUGAAAGACGGUCUUGCUGUCACUUAUAGAUGGUUCCGCGCUGCAUUAGCUAGUUGGUAAGGUAACGGCUUACCAAGGCAACGAUGCAUAGCCGACCUGAGAGGGUGAUCGGCCACACCGGAACUGAGACACGGUCCAGACUCCUACGGGAGGCAGCAGUAGGGAAUCUUCCGCAAUGGGCGAAAGCCUGACGGAGCAACGCCGGGUGAGUGAUGAAGGUCUUCGGAUCGUAAAACUCUGUUAUUAGGGAAGAACAUAUGUGUAAGUAACUGUGCACAUCUUGACGGUACCUAAUCAGAAAGCCACGGCUAACUACGUG
rnacentral:rRNA from 1 species